UACGAAGGGGGCUAGCGUUGUUCGGAAUCACUGGGCGUAAAGGGCGCGUAGGCGGCUUGAUAAGUCGGGGGUGAAAGCCCGGGGCUCAACCCCGGAAUUGCCUUUAAGACUGCAUCGCUUGAAUCCGGGAGAGGUGAGUGGAAUUCCGAGUGUAGAGGUGAAAUUCGUAGAUAUUCGGAAGAACACCAGUGGCGAAGGCGGCUUACUGGACCGGCAUUGACGCUGAGGUGCGAAAGCGUGGGGAGCAAACAGG
rnacentral:rRNA from 1 species